AAGGAAGAUAAUGACGGUACUUGAGGAGGAAGCCCCGGCUAACUACGUGCCAGCAGCCGCGGUAAUACGUAGGGGGCUAGCGUUAUCCGGAUUUACUGGGCGUAAAGGGGGCGUAGGCGGUCUUUCAAGUCAGGAGUGAAAGGCUACGGCUCAACCGUAGUAAGCUCUUGAAACUGGGAGACUUGAGUGCAGGAGAGGAGAGUGGAAUUCCUAGUGUAGCGGUGAAAUGCGUAGAUAUUAGGAGGAACACCAGUUGCGAAGGCGGCUCUCUGGACUGUAACUGA
rnacentral:rRNA from 1 species